UAAUAAGUGUUUUAUGGCACUUUUUAAAUCCAUAUCCACCUUGUGUGCAAUGUCAGUCGAUCUUCUUCAUGGAGAUCGACCAAACAUCAACCUUUAUCUUUUAACUCUUUGUCUGAAAAAGUAUUAUGAAUAAACAAUUCAAAAUA
rnacentral:misc_RNA from 1 species